UGAAGGAGAAAAAUGAGUUUUCGUAUGUGAGGUAAUCUUACUUAUGCUGGGAGUGAAGGCAGUGCGUAUGACCUCUUGAUAUGAGAGACACAUCCUGUAUUUAAAGGUGGAUCAUGAGUGAAGCUCUGCAGGUCUGCCAUUGGCUUGAUAACAGUGAAUUGAGUGAAUUCAAUUUAUAAAUAAAUCUUUUACCAAGCAUUCACCUAUUUACUGACAAAACAGAUCCAAAUCUUGUUCAGCCUGAUGCUCAACCUUGUAUGAUGAUGACCACAGCCAGGUGAUGAAGAUCUGUGUUAAUCACAGCCUGCGUCUCAAGAUCAACAUGACAACGGCAGACCAUCUCUUAUCUUACUCUUAUCUGACUAAGGGGCGGUUUCCCGGACCAGAAUUAGCUUAAUCCAGGACUAGGCCUUAGUUUAAUUAGGAAAUAUAACUAGUUUUAACAAACAUGCCUUACUAAAAACAUUGCCUGUGUGCAUUUUGAAGUAAACAAAGGGCCCUGAUGUAUUUUAAGAUAUGUAAGUGCAAGUUGUUUUCAGUUUGGAGAGCUCUUAAAACUGUUUAAGUCUAGGACUAGUCUAAUCCCUGUCCGGGAAACCGCCCCAAUAUGUUCAACUUCAUUGCAACAAAACAAAGAACAUUGGAUGGAGUAUUGGAGUAUGCACAAUGAUCCAGCAAACAAAAUAAUAUGGACUUUUUUGGUGAGAUUCUACAAACAUUGACACAAUCCUAUUGACUUUUAUUUUUACAGUUAAUUCAUUUGUAUUCUAUGUCAUCGAUCUGUUUGUGCUAAAAUGUAUACAUCUGAAUGUAAUGUCAAUAAUAUGUUAAUAUUCAGGAUUUAUUAUCAUUUGCAUGUUUUGAUGUUGCAUGUCAUGAUAGUAUUAAUUUCAUGUAAUUGUUGUCUACUUAAAAUGAUUUUAAUUGCCAAAUUCUAUUGUUAAUUUAUUUAAUAUUGAAGCUGUUAUUUAACAUCCAUAUCUUAUUU